rnacentral:tRNA from 1 species
GCCCUCUUCGUCUAGUGGCCUAGGACACAGGAUUCUCAGUCCUGUUACAGGGGUUCGACUCCCCUAGAGGGUA